AGACUGCUGACUUAUGGAUAGCUUAUAUCUCUAAAUUGUUAAAAAAUUUGCAUAAGGUAGAUGCGUAACACCUGGCAAAUACAUUGACGCAAACCUCACUACGAGUCUUGUAAUGCAAAACAUAUACACACGCACAGGAGAAGUCCAACUCUUAGCUCUAAUUCCCAUUGUCUUGUGGCAUGUGGCAGGCAGGCAAUUUUCAUAGUUUGCAUUUUCCGACUUUGGCAUAUUUGUGCGACAAAUUGCGAGCCAAUUCCAUAAAACAGUUGCAUACUUUUAGACGCUGCACGAGCACAAAACAAAUUGAAAAGAAAAAUUAUCGGAAUGAACAAAAUUUCUCGGUGCAUGCCUAACAAGAGGCCCCUAACAAAAAGUGGGCGUGGCAGAAGAAAAAACUACAAUAGAGAGUGAGUAGACAAUGUGUGUAUGUAUGUGUGUGUGUGUGUGUGAGAGAAGUUUUGUGUGGAACAUGUUUGCCAUACUUUUUAUCUUUGGGCCCAAUUCUGUUUUAUGCGAGUGAGUUUUUUAAAGGAGGAAGCGAACAACAGGCACCAAAAACUUCUGUAAGUAUGUGUGUGUGUGUGUGUAAGGUAUAAAGUUGUAAGUGCAUUUCGCAUAAAUGGAAAAUUGUUCAAUUUAUCGGCGCACAGAGGAGCGAGCACACGAGCUGGGAAUGUGGCCAAGGCAGCAGACAGAAGAACUUGAGAAACUUUACGCAAUUGAAGAGAUAAAUGUUUAUGUUGGUCAACUCCGGUUAACCCUUACGGUUAUGUAUAUGAAGUCCACAGUCUAAAUAUAUAUCCAGUUGUGGGCCAUGGCUAAAUAAUUGCCACAAAUGAGGCGCAUCAAAUUUGAUUUGAUUUGAUUUGAGCCUUUAAACCACAGCGGCGACAGCAAUCGAAGGACAACAGUUAAAGCGCUGUAAACGGCCAUAAGCAGGAUGAGACGAGGAUGAUAAAAAUAUCAACAAGCCAGCAAUAAAACAUUCAGCAUUCAAGGAGCUGAGGAGCUGAGGAGUAGCCAAGUGAACAUUGGACCAUUGUCGAAAUGACAUCAAUAAAAUAUUUAAGGCGACAACAAAGAGAAGCAGCCACCACAUUCGCAUUCGCAUUCACGAAUGGCCUUCAUGCUUCAGCUACCUCUGGCUCCACUCCUGCUCGUACUCCCGCUCCUGCCACGCCUCCGCAGUUGGCAAAACAAACACAAGGAGGGCGCUGAAUGGAGAACUUCACUCGACUGGCGUCAUGGCAAACGAGCUUAACAGGAUAAACCGAUGAGAACUGAGCGAAGGCGCUGUGAAUGGUGCAGAGGAGUUGAGGGCGAGAGUGAAGCAUGUGACCAAACGGAUGAAAUAUGGCCGCAGGAUCUAACUUAAAUAUAAAUAAGGAAACAUUAAGAUCAUUUACAGAAUCCAACUUCAUAUACUUGGGACAUAUUGAAGAAAUCAUGAACAACAAACAGAAGUCCUACGAAGCCCUAUGAAUGGAUUUAUAAAUUUCUUUUUAUUUUAUUGAUUACUAUAAUAUUUUUAUCGUUUCAGAUUCCAAAAGCACAUUGAUCAAUAUUUUCCUAGAAUUAUGUUAAUUUAUUUGAGAUAUUAGCACUAAGGGUUUUCAUGUAAACAAAUAAAUUAGAUAAGAGAAUUUUA